rnacentral:rRNA from 1 species
AUGAACGCUGGCGGCGUGCCUCAUACCUGCAAGUCGCGCGCACAGACGAGGAGCUUGCUCCUCUGACGUUAGCGGCGGACGGGUGAGUAACACGUGGAUAACCUACCUAUAAGACUGGGAUAACUUCGGGAAACCGGAGCUAAUACCGGAUAAUAUAUUGAACCGCAUGGUUCAAUAGUGAAAGACGGUUUUGCUGUCACUUAUAGAUGGAUCCGCGCCGCAUUAGCUAGUUGGUAAGGUAACGGCUUACCAAGGCGACGAUGCGUAGCCGACCUGAGAGGGUGAUCGGCCACACUGGAACUGAGACACGGUCCAGACUCCUACGGGAGGCAGCAGUAGGGAAUCUUCCGCAAUGGGCGAAAGCCUGACGGAGCAACGCCGCGUGAGUGAUGAAGGUCUUCGGAUCGUAAAACUCUGUUAUUAGGGAAGAACAAAUGUGUAAGUAACUAUGCACGUCUUGACGGUACCUAAUCAGAAAGCCACGGCUAACUACGUG